CCACAAGGGGUGAAGCCUGCGGUUCAAUUGGAGUCAACGCCAGGAAACUUACCAGGAGAGACAGCAGAUUGAGGGUCAGGCUGAAGACCUUACCUGACGAGCUGAGAGGAGGUGCAUGGCCGUCGCCAGCUCGUGCCGUGAGGCGUCCUGUUAAGUCAGGCAACGAGCGAGACCCCUAUCCGUAAUUGCUAACUGCCCAGAGAUGGGUAGAGGCUAGUUACAGAGACUGCCGCUGCUAAAGCGGAGGAAGGAAGGGGCCACGGCAGGUCAGUAUGCCCCGAAACUCCUGGGCCACACGCGGGCUGCAAUGGUAGGGACAAUAGGUUCCGACCUCGAAAGAGGAAGGCAAUCCCGAAACCCUACCCCAGUUGUGAUCGAGGAUUGAAACCCGUCCUCGUGAAUAUGGAAUCCCUAGUAACCGCGUGUCAUCACCGCGCGGUGAAUACGUCCCUGCUCCUUGU
rnacentral:rRNA from 1 species